ensembl:lncRNA
CAAGCAUAAGGAUUUAAGCGACUUUGAGAAGGGCCAAAUUGUGAUGGUCAGAGCAUCUCCAAAACAGCAGGUCUUGUGGGGUGUUCCCGGUAUACAGUGCUUAGUACCUAUCAAAAGUUUUCCAAGGAAGGACAACCGGUGUACUGGCGACAGGGUCAUGGGCACCCAACUCUCACUGAUGCACAUGGGGAACAUGAGCAUUGCUUACUGGGGAAGAGAUGACACCAGGAUGCACUAUGGAAAGAAGACAAGCCUGAAGAGGAAGUGUGAUGCUCUGGGAAAUGCUGUGCUGGGAAACCUUGGGUCCUGGCAUUCAUGUGGAUGUUACAUGUACCACCGAAAUAUUGUUGCAGGCCAAGUACACACAUUCAUGCCAACGGUAUUCCCUAAAGUCACUGACCAUUUUUCAGUAGGAUAAUGCACCAUGUCACACUGCAAAAAUUGUUCAGGAACGAUUUGAGGAACAUGACAAAGAGUUCAAGGUGUUGACAAAUUCCCCGGAUCUCAAUCCGAUCGAGCAUCUGUGGGAUGUGCUGGACAAACGAGUCCAAUCCACGGAGGCCUCGCAAAGUACAGGACUUGCUGCUAACGUCCAAGUGCCAGAUACCACAGCAUAACAGCAUUCAGAGGUCUGCUGGAAACCAUGCCUCAACAGAUCAGAGCUGUUUUGUGACACAAGUGGGACCUACACAAUAUUAGGCAGGUGGUUUUAAUGUUGUAGCUUAUCGGUGUAUAUUGCUGUUUCUGAAGCUAUUACAGGUGAUUUUUCCUCAUGUGACAGACUUAACCCAUCUAUAUUUAGGUAGAAAUUCAUUUAGGCUAAAAACAAGGGAUUUCUCUCACUUAAAUACCUGUCCAUGAUUUACAGCUAUUUCACAAGGGCUCUCACUAUAUCUCUUCUCCAAAAAAUAAAAUAGUUGCUGUGAUACUUUUUUGUGAUUAGCUUGUCUACUGCUACUCUGACCGAGACUGGUACACACACAAAUAAAGCCAUGUGAAAAAUACUUAAUAACAUGACUAGCUAAUGUAAGGCAAAAAUGUUCAAAUUACAUCUAGAUCACUUUGCAGUUGCUCUGGCAGAACAUGACUAUUACACCAAUGCUGAAAAAUGCACCAUUAUGUGCGAUUACUGAACAACAGCCAUCCAUGCUAUAUUAAAUUGCAUUCAGAAUCAUUUAAGCCAUCUCUACUGAAAGAAAUACAGCUUGUUCAGGCCAAGCUGAUCCAGAACAUCUUUGCUAGCUGGUAACUGCUGAUAAAAAGGAAACAGCUUGUGAAUGACCGCUAUUAAUGCUUCAUCAUAGGUAAAAUAAUUACUGAAGACAGUACAACAGUACAGCAAUUAGAAACUCAAACUUUUAUUGAUCAAUAUACUAAAUUAGGGUAGUCUCAUAUGAAUAUUUUUUUGAGAUGAGCUCUCAGAAGCAGCGUCGUCGUCGUCACCGCCAUUAUCAUCAUCAUCAUCUUCUUCCUAGGCUGUACACUUGAGCUGUCGAUCCAAAUCUCACUAGCCAAUGAGAGUAAAUCGGUGUUAAGCCCCGCCCACACAAGGGGUUUGUGCCAGAAUAGCGAACGUAAACUUGCUGAGCGUAAACAAAAUCUCUAGAAGCGCAUUCAUAAACCGUGAUUAACCAAAACGAAGCUUAGAAAACUGUUAACAAAAAAUGCUAUUUAUUUGAAGUCCAUGUAAAUUUUUUUGCCACCGAGUUCACUGUUUUCAGUUUCAGAGUGUUUUUCUUCUCUCGUUGUAUAUUUUUGUUCGUUUCUUGAAAAGCUGCGGUCAAUACUCAUGGCGCAAAUUUCAUUCCAUGUAAACUUAAGAGUCUCUGAAACGUUCAGCACAGUAGAAAGUACUGGGUGAACAAUGUUUCUUUCAAGAUCUCGGAAACUUGCAAUUUUAAGCUUAUAGGUUAAAGCUAAGGUCUAAUGCUAAGCUUUAGACUAAACUUAAGGCUUAAUUCUCAGCCGUGGCCUCAGUGUAUCUUUUUAUUUUGUGAAACUCCAUGAAAACUGUCUGUGAACAGUUUAAAUUUUUUUUUAAGCUGUAACCUCAACAGCUACUGCUUGUGAAACAAAACGCAGGCUAUGUUUAUAUCGGUCACCUGCUGUGGUGUGUGUCGCCAGCUGUUACUUAAGACUGUGUGUGCUGCGACAACCUGUGAUUUCUGAGACACACUAAUGGCUGUGUAGCGCGUUAGAGCUUUAAGGGUAACAAUGCCGAUGUGCUCUUUGCCAUGACAAGGACGAUUAAUCUGUAAUGUGAAAUCGUUUGGUUUCCCAUGCUGCUUGAUCUUGAGUCAAAAAUAAAUAAAUACAUAAAUAAAUAAAAAUCUUCACAUACACCAGCUCUAUGGUCUGUGUGCCUGUAACGAUUAGUGAUGAACACUGUAAGAUCUGUGUCAUCGAUCUAGGUUUACACGUGUCCUGCGCAUUUACACGAAAACCUAUCAUGAUUUAAAAAAAAAAAAAAAAAAAAAAAAAAAAAACCCCAAGAUAAUCAUUUAGUGAGCGAUUUUGUCGUUUUGGCACUUUUACAAGCGCAAUACAGGAGCAACAUAUUUCUCUCAUUUACUAAACAAAGAUCAUUUGCGAUUAUGGUGUAACAUAAGGCUAAUAAUAAUAAUAGUAAUAAUAAUAAUAAUAAUAAUAAUAAUAAUAAUAAUAUAAUAUCCAAGUUAAUAUGCUGAAACAGAACAAACUCACUGGCUAAAGUUUGUCAAGUGCUAAAGUGCUAUAUAGGUUUCAGGUCCUGACCUGACAGACACACUAUGGUUUAAAAGUUUUAUUAGUAGAAUACAAAUUGUAAUGUACUGUAUGUAGGCCCAAUUUACUACUUUGGAUUAUGGGAAUGCACCUGAUCCCCUGGCCACCAAACCUCUACAAACACUCAAAAGCAUCAAUUAUUAAGAAGUCUUAUACACAUACACACACACACACACACACACACACACACAAAGUAGCUGAUUUCUCGAAUCAGAAAGUGGGCAUUAAUUGUUACAGAACAGCACGGCUU